UGAACGCUGGCGGCGUGCCUAAUACAUGCAAGUCGAGCGAACGGACGAGAAGCUUGCUUCUCUGAUGUUAGCGGCGGACGGGUGAGUAACACGUGGAUAACCUACCUAUAAGACUGGGAUAACUUCGGGAAACCGGAGCUAAUACCGGAUAAUAUUUUGAACCGCAUGGUUCAAAAGUGAAAGACGGUCUUGUUGUCACUUAUAGAUGGAUCCGCGCUGCAUUAGCUAGUUGGUAAGGUAACGGCUUACCAAGGCAACGAUGCAUAGCCGACCUGAGAGGGUGAUCGGCCACACUGGAACUGAGACACGGUCCAGACUCCUACGGGAGGCAGCAGUAGGGAAUCUUCCGCAAUGGGCGAAAGCCUGACGGAGCAACGCCGCGUGAGUGAUGAAGGUCUUCGGAUCGUAAAACUCUGUUAUUAGGGAAGAACAUAUGUGUAAGUAACUGUGCACAUCUUGACGGUACCUAAUCAGAAAGCCACGGCUAACUACGUG
rnacentral:rRNA from 1 species